GAUGAACGUUGGCGGCGUGCCUAAUACAUGCAAGUCGAGCGAACAGACGAGGAGCUUGCUCCUCUGACGUUAGCGGCGGACGGGUGAGUAACACGUGGAUAACCUACCUAUAAGACUGGGAUAACUUCGGGAAACCGGAGCUAAUACCGGAUAAUAUAUUGAACCGCAUGGUUCAAUAGUGAAAGACAGUUUUGCUGUCACUUAUAGAUGGAUCCGCGCCGCAUUAGCUAGUUGGUAAGGUAACGGCUUACCAAGGCGACGAUGCGUAGCCGACCUGAGAGGGUGAUCGGCCACACUGGAACUGAGACACGGUCCAGACUCCUACGGGAGGCAGCAGUAGGGAAUCUUCCGCAAUGGGCGAAAGCCUGACGGAGCAACGCCGCGUGAGUGAUGAAGGUCUUCGGAUCGUAAAACUCUGUUAUUAGGGAAGAACAAAUGUGUAAGUAACUAUGCACGUCUUGACGGUACCUAAUCAGAAAGCCACGGCUAACUACGUG
rnacentral:rRNA from 1 species